UACGGAGGGUGCAAGCGUUUAUCCGGAUUUACUGGGUUUAAAGGGUGCGUAGGUGGGUAGGUAAGUCAGUGGUGAAAUCUUCAAGCUUAACUUGGAAACUGCCAUUGAUACUAUUUAUCUUGAAUACUUUGGAGGUAAGCGGAAUAUGUCAUGUAGCGGUGAAAUGCUUAGAUAUGACAUAGAACACCAAUUGCGAAGGCAGCUUACUACACAGUUAUUGACACUGAGGCACGAAAGCGUGGGGAUCAAACAGG
rnacentral:rRNA from 1 species